rnacentral:pre_miRNA from 1 species
AAAAAGAUAAACCCUGGGUUUCCGUGUUCAACGUUUGAUUGUCUGUCUUAUAUGAAAUUUUUUUAUAAUUAGUAUUUUUAUUGUUGUUAGAUGAUAAAACAUAAUUAAUACUUUAUGCGUGACUUAUUUUUUUAAUUUUUUUUAUAUGUUUUUCAAAUAAGACGGGCGGUCAAAUGUUGGACACGGAAACCCAAG